AUCCAGCGUCUUCUACACCUUGGCGAGGUAAACAUCAAACACACACCUUUUAUGCAGUAUACCCAACCCAACCAUAAAUUGCCAUGUUGCAACUUGAACUACUCAGUAGAAUAGGAGGGGCCGUUUUCGUCAAAUAAUGAAAACUGGCAAUGAUUCUUUGAUGACGAGUUAAUCUGUGAUUUUGAGAGAAGCAACUUGACUAAAAAUUUGAUAGCAUUGAAAUGUAGCUUGUAACUGGAAUACACAAAUUUUCAAUGGAGAAGGAGAGACCAAAGUCGCAAAGACACAUUAGCAAUCAAGGAACAUUUUCUCAAGCACCAACACUGUAACUGAAAACUCUAGAACUAUUUGUUUGGAUUUCUCUUUGGCUCUCACUGAUCCUGCAAUUGGAACCUUUCAUGGAUUCCUGAUCUUGACCAGAAACAAGCGCAAGGGUAAAGCUGUUAUAGAUAGAACCCAUUGGAUCAUAUGAAGUGCUUACUUGAUUGGACUGGUUCUCUAGCAGUUGAUUCCGAUGAACUGUAUUUGCAUGUUUUUACACCAAGCGAACUUUUUGGCCAAUUCACAGAGGUGAGUGGGGUGAGACGAAAAUUUUCUUCUUUUGAUUGGGUACCACAUGGAACCUGCAAGCUGAAAAGAAGAGCACAAAGGUUGUUAUGGCUGAAGGAGGAAAGCAAAUGGAGCUUAAAUUCCAUAUCUAUGAUGGAACAGAUAUAGGGCAUAGUACUUAUGCAUCAUCUAUGACUGUUGGAUCUCUUAAGCAAAGGCUAGUUACAGAGUGGACCCAAGGUUACUUAUCUAGAUCAUUUAUGUUCUUUUCACUUGUUCCAAAUAAGCAUAGUGAUUGUUACACUUUCCAAUUGCUUUUUAACUGCUGAAGGUUACAGUGUGAAAUGUGUUGGCUUGUAUUUUAUUGUUUUUGUUGUGUUUUUAGCCACCAACCUAUUAUAAUUUCUCAAAUGGAGGUUGGUACUUUCUGUGAUUUUCAGACUUCUCUUAUAGAAGUUUCCUUUUGAAAAAAAUUAUAUAUUUUUCAAUUGAACACGGCCAGUUUGGAGCUUUGUUCUUAUUUUUCCAGGAACCAGGAAUGCAUUCUAUAUUGCCAUAAACAUUUGGUCCAUCUUUUAGCAAUUGACUUGUGAGAGGGAAUGGCCAAUGACUUGAUUGCAUUGGCGGCAAUUUUUAUUAGUGUUAUGCUAUUGACUGAUCUUGCUGUAUGUUUCUAGUCACAAAUUUAGCUGCUUUAUGUUGCAAAUCAAACUUUGGCAUUCAGGUAUAUACUCUAUAGUCUAUUCCCUUUUUGUGUCUCUUUUUUGUUUUUUUUUUCUGGAUAAGGUCCCUUUCUGUGUCUGUAAUGAUGCCUUUGGGUUUACAGGUAAAACAGUAUUACCCAAGUCAGUAAAUGAUUUGAAA